AAAUUGAAGAGUUUGAUCAUGGCUCAGAUUGAACGCUGGCGGCAGGCCUAACACAUGCAAGUCGAACGGUAACAGGAAACAGCUUGCUGUUUCGCUGACGAGUGGCGGACGGGUGAGUAAUGUCUGGGAAACUGCCUGAUGGAGGGGGAUAACUACUGGAAACGGUAGCUAAUACCGCAUAAUGUCGCAAGACUAAAGAGGGGGACCUUCGGGCCUCUUGCCAUCGGAUGUGCCCAGAUGGGAUUAGCUAGUAGGUGGGGUAACGG
rnacentral:rRNA from 1 species